CCAACACUGGGACUGAGACACUGCCCAGACUCCUACGGGAGGCUGCAGUCGAGGAUCUUUCGCAAUGGGCGAAAGCCUGACGAAGCGACGCUGUGUGAGCGAUGAAGGCCUUCGGGUUGUAAAGCUCUUUCGCAUAAGAACAAGAGAGGUUGGUGAAUAACCAGCCGAUUUGAGUGUACUAUGUAAAGAAGCACCGGCUAACUCC
rnacentral:rRNA from 1 species